rnacentral:rRNA from 1 species
UGAUGUGGUGCAAAACUCAAAAAAGUAAGUCUCAGUUCGGAUUGAAGGCUGAAAUUCGCCUUCAUGAAGCCGGAAUUGCUAGUAAUGGCAGGUCAGCAUACUGCCGUGAAUACGUUCCCGGGCCUUGUACACACCGCCCGUCACACCAUGAGAGUUGGGAAUACCCGAAGCCUGUGAGCUAACGUUAAGAGGCAGCAGUCGAAGGUAGAAUCAAUGAUUGGGGCGAAGUCGUAACAAGGUAUC